AUGACAUGGGAGCAAGCACUACAGGAAAGCCCAGCCUCUCCAUCCGGAAUUGAACUGCCUGUGAAGCAGCUACAGAGAGCACCCAGGGCCAUUUGCCUCAUAGCAGCAGAGCUGCUUGUUUACCGAGAGCUCCAGCCCCUUGCUGGCAAAGGUGGACCUCUUAUCUCUCAGGGAUCACUCUGCCUCUGGGUUCCUGCAUCCCUGUGUGGGAUUUACACUCUGCCCGAGGGCCUGGCUCCUCCUGGGUUCUGCUCCACUGUUCCCCAGCUGACCUGUCAAGUUGUGGUUGGAGACCCAGAGUGACCCAGCCCCUACAUCGCCCAUCAGACUUGUUGCCCUGGUCUGGCUGGCCAUUUAUCUGGCUCUGGGAUUAUCUCUAAAAUCCUGAGGGCACCAACCUUCUAGGAGUCUGAUGUGGGCCAUUUUCCCUGGAAAUAUAAAUGAAACUGACUGGCGGGGGAGCACUUAUAGCUCUUUCUGGUCUUCCUGGUCCUGGGUCCAAACUAAAAGGAUCUUUUUCACCAUUCCCACUGUCCCUGCUCAAAUCAAUUUCUCCUUAUUUGUCAUAUGGACCACCCUGGUGCUCUUCUGACUCACCUCCUUCCACCUUUUUUAGUCUCUUCCAGUCUACCCUCCGUUUGGCUGCCUGAGGGAACUCUAAACUAUGGUUCUGACAUCAUCACCCUGCUGUGUCCCUUUAACAGUUCCCCAUUAUCUGAGGGCAAAGCCUAAAUUCACAGUGGCCCACAAGGCCUUAUCUCACCAGCCUGAUCUCUCUCUCUCUCUCUUUCAAAUCUCCCCCCAAAUGCCACUUUUGCUCUAACUAUAGCCAACAUCUUAUUCUUUUUAGGACCAUGCCAUCUUCCAAUGCCACAUUUGUGUCCUCAUGUUAUGUCCUCACCCUGGAAUGUUCUCUCUUCCCGUUUUUGUCCCUCUUGCUUUUUCUUCAGCCUUUUUUUUUUUUUUUUUUUUUUUUUGAGACAAGGUCUUGCUCUAUCACCCAGGCUGGAGUGCAGCUUCGACCUCCCAGGCUCAAGUAAUUCUCCCGUCUCAGCCUCUUGAAUAGCUGAAAUCACAGGUGUGUACUACUAUGCCUGGCUAAUUUGUUUGUUUGUUCUGUAAUGACAGGGUCUCCCUAUGUUGCCCAGGCUGGUCUCAAAUUCCUGGACUCAAGAGAUCUUCUUGCCUUGGCCUCACAAAGUGCUGGGAUUACAGGCAUGAGCCACCAUGCAUGGCCUUAUCUUUUUUCUUGAAUAAGCAUCUCACCUUGUCCCCUAGGCUGGAGUGCAGUGGUGUGAUCUUGGCCCACUGCAGCUUUGACCUCCCCGAUUUAAGCAAUCCUCCUGCCUCAGCCCCCACAAGUAGAUGAAACUAUAGGCGUGUGCCACCACACCCAGCUAAUGUUUGUAUUUUUUCUAAAGACAGGUUUUUACCAUGUUGCCCAGGCUGGUCUUGAACUCCUGAGCUCAAGUAACCCACCUGCCUUGGCCUCCCAAAGUGCUAGGAUUACAGGCAUAAGCCACCACACCCCACCCUCCUUUAGCUCUUUAACGUUUUGCUUUUUUUACAUCUAAUUAUGAAAUGGUAAGUAUUCGUGACAGAAAAUUCAGAAAGUGUAGAAAAGAAAACCAACCAUAGUCUCAUCUCUCAUAAGCAACAAAUGUUAAUAUUUGGGCAUAGUUCCUCCAGUCUUUUUGUUCAUUUGCAUUUUUCUUUUUAUAACUGACAGCAUUCUAUACAUGAACUCUUAAAUUCAUUUUUAAAAAAAGUUUUUGAGACAGGGUCUCUGUUGCCCAGGCUAGAGUACGGUGGCCCAAAUGCAGCUCACUGCAGCCUCAACCUCCCAGGCUCAGUCUCCUGAGUAGCUGGAAUCACAGGUACACACUAACAUGCCCAACUAAUUUUUAAUUUUCUUGUGGAGACGGGGUCUCACUUUGUUUCCCAGGCUGGUCUCCAAUUCAUGGGCUCAAGUGAUCCUCCCACCUUGGCCUCCCAAAGUAUUGGGAUAACAGGCGUGAGCCACUGUGUUUGGCCUGUGUUUGUCUUAAAAUAGUCUUAAAUACCAACCUGGGCAAUAUAAUG
rnacentral:lncRNA from 1 species